rnacentral:rRNA from 1 species
UACGUAGGGGGCAAGCGUUGUCCGGAUUUAUUGGGCGUAAAGAGCGUGUAGGCGGCUUGGUAGGUCCGCUGUGAAAACUCGAGGCUCAACCUCGAGAUGUCGGCGGAAACCACUUGGCUAGAGUCCGGAAGGGGAGAGUGGAAUUCCUGGUGUAGCGGUGAAAUGCGCAGAUAUCAGGAAGAACACCUAUGGCGAAGGCAGCUCUCUGGGACGGUACUGACGCUGAGACGCGAAAGCGUGGGGAGCGAACAGG